CAGACGGACGGACAGACGGGCUGAACGAGGGCCCCGGCGCGGAGGCGUCCUGCGGCCCGCAGACGACGCCUUUUGUUUUUGGGGCCGGCAGCUUUUCUCACUCGGGCCGGGCCGUGAAUAACACAACACAAGAGGAGAAGGCGCGAAAGCCGUUUGCACCCGAGGGUCUCACCUCCUCACUUCAACCUUCAAAAGCAGGGGGGGGGGCUUUUCAAUCAGUCUGAUGAAUUCCGCCAGACGGACGGCGGUCUGACCGCCAACCCAACGAUGAGUGACGGAGAGAGUCGGCAGUGACAAGACGCGGUUAAUAAUUCAUGACCGGGGCUUUAAUGAUCCUUAAACUGCAGUGGGAACUCUGCUGGUAACAUGUGAUCCUGCGGAGUUCCGUCUGCGCCGCUCUGUUAUGAAUAAGGUUUUAGAACUGGUAAUGACAGUUAUAGAAUAUAGCCGAUGAAUAGAAUUAGAGAGGAAAACAAGCAGUGACGUUAAUGGAAAAUAAACAAGUUCUGUGUACUAAUUUAGUCUAUAAAUACGUUCUGAUAGUGUGAUAUUUUAACUGCAUUUCCACUUUGUUUAACUUGUUAAAUCUGACUUUGGCUUCUGUUCGCGGUUUUGCUCCGGCGGCGAGCGAUCCGUCCCGCUGCAGACGCGGUUUGUCAACGUGAAAAAAAAGGAAAAGCAGCUGCUGUUAAAACAGUUCGUAUCCUCUCCAUGUUGACUCACAACAACCUGUGCAGCUGCACCAACGUCCUCGCUUGUUGAUGUUUUUGGGGAAUUUAUCGGUCUGGAUCAUCCAAAAAAACAAUGGCAAUGCAGCUUCAUAUUCCAAUUCCCCCAUCUGAUAUGUGAGUGGAAGAGAGCGCAGUCUCCACACGGGAUAUCGAGUGGGAGGAAUGCAUGGAGACCCUCCGUCAGCCAGUCCUAAGCCUACAGAGGAUGUGUUGGGUUGAUGUAAAACACACAGGAAGCAACUUGGGAUUCUGUGUCCCGCUUAACAACACCGCGACGCACGGACACAAUCACAACAUCACUUUCCAACCCAUUGCUCAUGAAAAACGAUUUAUUUUGAAAACUGACUGGAUUCUAUCCUUAUUACGGGCGCUCGUCCCUCUGGACAUAUUUCCCAAGCCAAAUAUUGUCUAACAUGAAAACAAAAAAAAAGGGUCGGGUUCCUCUGCGCUGGAGACCACAGUGUUCUGGUGGCAUGCUGGAUUGCACGGAGCUGGCGACACAUGCGGGCUCCACUGCCGCAGGCCCGCCAGAGGUGUCCACCCGUCCGCUCGACAAUGAUUAUUAAAUGUGUGGGCAUGUUUACUUUCAAACCCACCGGUCUUUCCACUGGCACAGCGACAGGACGCGUAAACACGGCAUGUAGGUCAGUUUGUGUCUGUUCUCCCCUCGCUGAGGGGAACCGACAGCACGAUCAAACACGUUAUUCGCCGAUUGUGACUCGUCUCACCUGGAGAAAACGGGGAAGCUCACC
ensembl:lncRNA